UGCGCGUCGUCGUUUAAUUCGUUUCCGUUUAAGAUACUUUCGACGCGCGCUGCCAAAACCGGAUUUUAGGAUGGUACCACUCACCUGUAGCGUGACCUUGAAAGGUUCUUGAAGUCGUUCCCGCUCCAGCAGAACACGAAGACAAUCCUGGACAUUUAAGGAUGUUCAUCGCCGGGAUCGAUCCAAAGUUGGUAGCCCUACGCGACAGCCCUAGUCCCUGCAGCAGAGAGAUAUUGGGGCCCUAUACUAUUCUGCCGUACAUCGUCACUUGCCUGUAUAUAUGUCGGCGAUCUUCGCCUCGCGUUUCACAACUAUCCUGAAGAAGAUCCACAAAGUCGGGGUGCCUCUCGCACGCGCGUCCCGCACACGUCAUGUACAUACGAUCGCACGAACACGAUAUGCACACCUGUAACUCGCGGUCUCGUCUGACAGCUGCGGGAGUCUAACAACUUUUCCACGCAGGGGCCGUAAGGCCGCUCCGUUCUGUCGAGCGACGCUCGUCGAUCUGAAUGGCGGGAACGGAACGGAAUGGAACGGGGACCAACGGGCCCCAACUCGACUCGAAAGGCAAAAUCGGUCUUCUCCGGGGCCCCUCGGCUCGGUUCGCUGAUGAGUACUUAUCAAAAAUUAUUUUGACAUAUCAAAUAUAUGCUGAAAUAAUUUCACGAGAUAAUGGAAGAAUACUGAGUGUGAGCAAAAAAAACGAGAAAAAGAAAGGGAAUAGAGAUUGGAGUCACGAGACUUUUAUGUUCAGUUCUAUGGCGGCCUCUCACGCUUGUGUUCCGAAGGUCCCUGACAUAUCCAGAUCUUCUGCCCUUUCUCUCCUAAGCUCUUCUCCUACCUUCGCUCUCUGUCCGAUCGCCACACCUUCCUGAAGAUCGAUUCGAGAUCGACCGCGACGGUAACACUUUCCACGCUCGCAAAGAGAAAGAGAGAGGCGCCUCUAACAGCAACUUCUAAGCAACGCUGUCAAAUAGAUUCCGUCCUGAAUUCUCCGUCUUGAUUCUCCUUCAUCUCUCUUCGAAGAAGAGAGAGGAACGCGGGUCUUUCCUCUCUGCUCCCCUUCUUUUCUCCUUUCUCUCUAUCUUAUGCUUCAACGACGUCUCUCUCAAUUUAUCUACCUGCUUGCGUCUAUCUACCUUGCUCGGGUUUCAUCCUCUACCUUUCUUUGAACCUUCGCUGCAUCAAUAGUAACCCAAGUCAAUAAAGAAGGAAAGAGAAGACGGGGACCAAUCUUAAUCUCUUGAUUUCUUCUUCUUCGAGGUGUGAAAUUUUGUCAGCCGGUUUUUUCUUCUUUCGAUGCAUCUCGCUUGCAUCCAAAAGUUUCACAAAAACAUCGCUCGAGAAGUUUCUCCCCUUCUCUGCAUUCAAUAUACUAUGUGAAUAUUAUAUACCGGAACACCUGAAUAUCUCGAAAACAAAGCGUUGUAUAAAAAAAUGUUAAAUACAAAAGUUGUAGGGUUUAAAAAGAUCUAUUUUAUGAUAUUAACAGUUUGACCUGAAGUUGCGUCAUAAAGAUCAGGUCAAGGUCACAAUGAUUUUUUUUAAUGGAUAUCCCCAUUUUUUAUUGUAUAUUCUUAUAGCUUAUCUCGAGAGCUUUCCAAAACACUAUACUUAAGUAUUUUUUCGUUAAGUACUUUUCGAGUUAAGAGGCUUCAAAGUUACGCUCUUUAGCAUUAGCGCGCGUGGAUACCGUAGUGACGAGCACGAACGCGCGUAAGGCUGAUGGCCUAAACAAACGUAAACGCAAGGGCAGCUCUCGUUUACCGCGCUUGUGUUUACGUUUUUCUCUGCCUUAGCUUACGUCUACGCCACGACAAUUACGUCGCGUUCUCUGCCAUCAGCCUAACAAACAAGAAUUCAAGAAUCGCGCGCGUUUAGGCAGAGAUUCACUCUGGUUUAGAUACGUCGUAAAUGGUUUACCCAAGUUGGCUCUAUUUUUUCUAAUCUACGUUGAAAAUUAAAGUUAUUACUAUCCUAUUAA